rnacentral:misc_RNA from 1 species
GAUGAAGAACGUAGCGAAGUGCGAUACUUGGUGUGAAUUGCAGAAUCCCGUGAACCAUCGAGUCUUUGAACGCAAGUUGCGCCCGAAGCCAUCAGGUUGAGGGCACGUCUGCCUGGGCGUCACAUAUCGUUGCCCAAUGCCUAUUGCAGUGCAAUAGGAAUUUCUAGGGCGAAUGAUGGCUUCCCGUGAGCGUUGUUGCCUCGCGGUUGGUUGAAAAUCGAGUCCUUGGUAGGGUGUGCCAUGGUAGAUGGUGGUCGAGUUAGAACGAUACCGAUCAUGUGCAUGCUCCCCAAAAUAUGGCCUCUAUGACCCACACGCGUCUUUUGACGCUCAUGACGAGACCUCAGGUCAGGCGGGGCUACCCGCUGAAUUUAAGCAUAACAAUAAGCGGAGGA